rnacentral:rRNA from 1 species
GGAGUUAGCCGGUGCUUCUUCUGUGAGUGAUGUCCUUCCUGCCGGUUAUUGACCCGCAGGCCUUCUUCCUCACUGAAAGUGCUUUACAACCCGAAGGCCUUCUUCACACACGCGGCAUGGCUGGAUCAGGGUUGCCCCCAUUGUCCAAUAUUCCCCACUGCUGCCUCCCGUAGGAGUCUGGGCCGUGUCUCAGUCCCAGUGUGGCUGAUCAUCCUCUCAGACCAGCUACGGAUCGUCGCCUUGGUGAGCCGUUACCUCACCAACCAGCUAAUCCGACAUAGGCUCAUCCGAUAGCGCGAGGCCCGAAGGUCCCCCGCUUUCCCCCGUAGGGCGUAUGCGGUAUUAGCCUGGGUUUCCCCAGGUUAUCCCCCACUACCGGGGCAGAUUCCUAUGCAUUACUCACCCGUCCGCCGCUCGCCACCAGGGAGCAAGCUCCCCGUGCUGCCGCUCGACUUGCAUGUGUUAGGCCUGCCGCCAGCGUUCAAAUCUGAGCCAGGAUCAAACUCUGA